CUCAUGCACUUUAUUUCUUCAUUAAAGCUCCAGUUCCUGGAAUUACAGCUUUAUUUGAGCACUUCAGAUUGUUUUGCAAGACAGUUAGUUCUGGCAUUCAUUUGCAGAGAGUGACUCAAAAACCCGACUCAGAACCAUUCUACAGACUCAGAAAAAAAAGGAACCAGAAGUGCUGCUGUAAGGAGUGAAGAGAUAUAUGCUGUCAGUGUGCACGCAAGAGAUGGCAAGUUGGCUCCAAAGACAGACCAGACUUUAAAAGUUAUAGCUUUGAUUUUGGAAUUCACAAAUGCUCUGAAAGCUGAGAACAAAAGAAGAAACUAACAAAUAAUAAACUUGCUGAUUUCCAAAG